rnacentral:rRNA from 1 species
GUAGGAUCCGAGCGUUAUCCGAAUUUACUGGGCGUAAAGCGCGUGUAGGCGGUCGGGUAAGUUGGACGUGAAAGCUCCUGGCUCAACUAGGAGAGGUCGUUCAAAACUGCCUGGCUAGAGGGCGACAGAGGGAGGUGGAAUUCCCGGUGUAGUGGUGAAGUGCGUAGAUAUCGGGAGGAACACCAGUGGCGAAGGCGGCCUCCUGGGUCGCACCUGACGCUCAGACGCGAAAGCUAGGGGAGCGAACGGGAUUAGAUACCCCGGGUAGUCCUAGCUGUAAACGAUGUGGACUUGGCGUUGGUGGGGUUAAAUCCCAUCAGUGCCGUAGCUAACGCGAUUAGUCCACCGCCUGGGGACUACGGUCGCAAGAUUA